rnacentral:rRNA from 1 species
CCUACGGGUGGCAGCAGUGGGGAAUAUUGGGCAAUGGGCGAAAGCCUGAACCAGCAACGCCGCGUGAAGGAAGAAGGCUUUCGGGUUGUAAACUCCUUUUGACAGGGAAGAGCAGAAGACGGUACCUGUCGAAUAAGCAACGGCUAACUACGUGACAGCAGCCGCGGUAAUACGUAGGGGGCAAGUGUUGUCCGGAUUUACUGGGUGUAAAGGGCGUGUAGCCGGGCUGACAAGUCCGAUGUGAAAUCCGGGGGCUCAACCCCCGAACUGCCUUUGAAACGGUUGGUCUUGAGUAUCGGAGAGGCAGGCGGAAUGCCUGGUGGAGCGGUGAAAUGCGUAGAUAUUAGGAGGAACACCAGUGGCGAAGGCGGCCUGCUGGACGACAACUGACGGUGAUGCGCGAAAGCGUGGGGAGCAAACAGGAUUAGAUACCCGGGUAGUC